UACGUAGGGGGCAAGCGUUGUCCGGAAUUAUUGGGCGUAAAGAGCGUGUAGGCGGUUCGGUAAGUCGGCUGUGAAAGUCCAGGGCUCAACCCUGGGAUCGCCGGUCGAUACUGCCGGACUAGAGUUCGGAAGAGGCGAGUGGAAUUCCCUGUGUAGCGGGUGAAAGUGCGUAGAGAUGGGGGAAGAACACUCGUGGCGAAGGCGGUCAGCUAGACCAGUUCUGACACUCGAGGCGCGACAGCGUGGGGAGCAAACAGG
rnacentral:rRNA from 1 species